UGAGGAAUAUUGCGCAAUGGACGAAAAUCUGACGCAACCAUGCCGUCGUGCAGUGAAGACGGCGCUUACGCGUUGUAAACUGCUUUUAUACACCAAGAACCCUUUGGACGUGUCCGAAGCUGACGGUACCUGUAUGAAUAAGCACCGGCUAACUCCGUGC
rnacentral:rRNA from 1 species